rnacentral:rRNA from 1 species
GACGAACGCUGGCGGCGUGCUUAACACAUGCAAGUCGAACGGAAAGGCCCUGCUUUUGUGGGGUGCUCGAGUGGCGAACGGGUGAGUAACACGUGAGUAACCUGCCCUUGACCUUGGGAUAACUUCAGGAAACUGGGGCUAAUACCGGAUAGGAGCUCCUGCUGCAUGGUGGGGGUUGGAAAGUUUCGGCGGUUGGGGAUGGACUCGCGGCUUAUCAGCUUGUUGGUGGGGUAGUGGCUUACCAAGGCUUUGACGGGUAGCCGGCCUGAGAGGGUGACCGGCCACAUUGGGACUGAGAUACGGCCCAGACUCCUACGGGAGGCAGCAGUGGGGAAUAUUGCACAAUGGGCGGAAGCCUGAUGCAACAACGCCGCGUGCGGGAUGACGGCCUUCGGGUUGUAAACCGCUUUCGCCUGUGACGAAGCGUGAGUGACGGUAAUGGGUAAAGAAGCACCGGCUAACUACGUGCCAGCAGCCGCGGUGAUACGUAGGGUGCGAGCGUUGUCCGGAUUUAUUGGGCGUAAAGGGCUCGUAGGUGGUUGAUCGCGUCGGAAGUGUAAUCUUGGGGCUUAACCCUGAGCGUGCUUUCGAUACGGGUUGACUUGAGGAAGGUAGGGGAGAAUGGAAUUCCUGGUGGAGCGGUGGAAUGCGCAGAUAUCAGGAGGAACACCAGUGGCGAAGGCGGUUCUCUGGGCCUUUCCUGACGCUGAGGAGCGAAAGCGUGGGGAGCGAACAGGCUUAGAUACCCUGGUAGUCCACGCUGUAAACGGUGGGUACUAGGUGUGGGGUCCAUUCCACGGGUUCCGUGCCGUAGCUAACGCUUUAAGUACCCCGCCUGGGGAGUACGGCCGCAAGGCUAAAACUCAAAGGAAUUGACGGGGCCCCGCACAAGCGGCGGAGCAUGCGGAUUAAUUCGAUGCAACGCGUAGAACCUUACCUGGGUUUGACAUGGAUCGGGAGCGCUCAGAGAUGGGUGUGCCUCUUAUGGGGUCGGUUCACAGGUGGUGCAUGGCUGUCGUCAGCUCGUGUCGUGAGAUGUUGGGUUAAGUCCCGCAACGAGCGCAACCCUUGUUCACUGUUGCCAGCACGUUAUGGUGGGGACUCAGUGGAGACCGCCGGGGUCAACUCGGAGGAAGGUGGGGAUGACGUCAAGUCAUCAUGCCCCUUAUGUCCAGGGCUUCACGCAUGCUACAAUGGCUGGUACAGAGAGUGGCGAGCCUGUGAGGGUGAGCGAAUCUCGGAAAGCCGGUCUCAGUUCGGAUUGGGGUCUGCAACUCGACCUCAUGAAGUCGGAGUCGCUAGUAAUCGCAGAUCAGCAACGCUGCGGUGAAUACGUUCCCGGGGCU